rnacentral:rRNA from 1 species
AUUGAACGCUGGCGGCAGGCCUAACACAUGCAAGUCGAGCGGAUGAAGGGAGCUUGCUCCUGGAUUUAGCGGCGGACGGGUGAGUAAUGCCUAGGAAUCUGCCUGGCAGUGGGGGAUAACGUCCGGAAACGGGCGCUAAUACCGCAUACGUCCUGAGGGAGAAAGUGGGGGAUCUUCGGACCUCACGCUAUCAGAUGAGCCUAGGUCGGAUUAGCUAGUUGGUGGGGUAAAGGCCUACCAAGGCGACGAUCCGUAACUGGUCUGAGAGGAUGAUCAGUCACACUGGAACUGAGACACGGUCCAGACUCCUACGGGAGGCAGCAGUGGGGAAUAUUGGACAAUGGGCGAAAGCCUGAUCCAGCCAUGCCGCGUGUGUGAAGAAGGUCUUCGGAUUGUAAGGCACUUUAAGUUGGGAGGAAGGGCAGUAAGUUAAUACCUUGCUGUUUUGACGUUACCAACAGAAUAAGCACCGGCUAACUUCGUG